GAGAAUUAGCUCAGCUGGGAGAGCGUCUGCCUUACAAGCAGGAUGUCGGGGGUUCGAGCCCCUCAUUCUCC
rnacentral:tRNA from 1 species